rnacentral:tRNA from 4 species
UGACCCAUGGUGUAAAGGCAGCACAAGAGGUUUUGGUUCUCUCGGUCCAGGUUCGAAUCCUGGUGGGUCAACAA